rnacentral:ncRNA from 1 species
AAGUUUGAUUCUUGCUUGGGUUGAUUUUCGCUACCCCUGUCUGUAAAGUAUAUGCAAAUUUUUGUGAUAAUUAGUAGUUUAUAAGCGAUUUGAAAUGUUUAUAAGUUAGUUGCGAGCAAUGGCGACGAUUGAUAGAAGCAGUACUAGAAAUUCAAUAUAUUAGUGUAAGCUAGAUUGAGCAAGACAAAUAAGGUCUGGUUAAGAUUUGUGCCAGCAGCCGCGGUUAUACUUAUUGGCCAAGUGAAAAAGAUUAAGUUGUUACAGUUAUUUUGGAAAAGGGAGUAACUGUUAUUUCUCGAAAUUUACAGCAGCAAAAGGUGAAAUUUGUUGGCUGAGUUGAAUGAAGGUAAGUUGAGAGAAAAGGCAGUUGCAGCAGAAACUGUGAAUCUCUAGGUAUGGACCGGGAUUAGAUACCCCGUUACACUAGUGUUUAAAAGUUAUGAAAACUGGAGUAGUAAAAAUUAAUAGUUUUAAAAUUCAAAGAAUUUGGCGGUGCCUUAGCCUAGUUAGAGGAACCUGUUUUAUAAACGAUAAUCCACGUAAAAUCUUUCUUGUUUUUAUAAAGUUAGUAUACCUUCAUUAUUAGAUAAUUUAUAGAUAGAAAUUAUUGUAAUAGGGCUGACGCUCCUAAUAUAUUAGAUCACGGUGCUGCUAAUAAACAAGUAAAAAUGGGUUACAAUAAAAUUAAUUUAUCGCGGAGUUAGCUAUGAAUAUUGUUAAUAAAGAUGGAUUUAAUUGUAAUGGAAUAUUUAAUAAGGUUUUAUGAGAUAAGCACUAAGGUGUGUACAUAUUGCCCGUCGCUUUCAUUCAUUUAGAUGGAAUAAGUCGUAACAUAGUAGGGGUACCGGAAGGUGUUCCUAGAU